rnacentral:rRNA from 1 species
GAUAAACGCUGGCGGCGUGCCUAAUACAUGCAAGUCGAGCGAACGGACGAGAAGCUUGCUUCUCUGAUGUUAGCGGCGGACGGGUGAGUAACACGUGGAUAACCUACCUAUAAGACUGGGAUAACUUCGGGAAACCGGAGCUAAUACCGGAUAAUAUUUUGAACCGCAUGGUUCAAAAGUGAAAGACGGUCUUGCUGUCACUUAUAGAUGGAUCCGCGCUGCAUUAGCUAGUUGGUAAGGUAACGGCUUACCAAGGCAACGAUGCAUAGCCGACCUGAGAGGGUGAUCGGCCACACUGGAACUGAGACACGGUCCAGACUCCUACGGGAGGCAGCAGUAGGGAAUCUUCCGCAAUGGGCGAAAGCCUGACGGAGCAACGCCGCGUGAGUGAUGAAGGUCUUCGGAUCGUAAAACUCUGUUAUUAGGGAAGAACAUAUGUGUAAGUAACUGUGCACAUCUUGACGGUACCUAAUCAGAAAGCCACGGCUAACUACGUGCCAGCAGCCGCGGUAAUACGUAGGUGGCAAGCGUUAUCCGGAAUUAUUGGGCGUAAAGCGCGCGUAGGCGGUUUUUUAAGUCUGAUGUGAAAGCCCACGGCUCAACCGUGGAGGGUCAUUGGAAACUGGAAAACUUGAGUGCAGAAGAGGAAAGUGGAAUUCCAUGUGUAGCGGUGAAAUGCGCAGAGAUAUGGAGGAACACCAGUGGCGAAGGCGACUUUCUGGUCUGUAACUGACGCUGAUGUGCGAAAGCGUGGGGAUCAAACAGGAUUAGAUACCCUGGUAGUCCACGCCGUAAACGAUGAGUGCUAAGUGUUAGGGGGUUUCCGCCCCUUAGUGCUGCAGCUAACGCAUUAAGCACUCCGCCUGGGGAGUACGACCGCAAGGUUGAAACUCAAAGGAGUUGACGGGGACCCGCACAAGCGGUGGAGCAUGUGGUUUAAUUCGAAGCAACGCGAAGAACCUUACCAAAUCUUGACAUCCUUUGACAACUCUAGAGAUAGAGCCUUCCCCUUCGGGGGACAAAGUGACAGGUGGUGCAUGGUUGUCGUCAGCUCGUGUCGUGAGAUGUUGGGUUAAGUCCCGCAACGAGCGCAACCCUUAAGCUUAGUUGCCAUCAUUAAGUUGGGCACUCUAAGUUGACUGCCGGUGACAAACCGGAGGAAGGUGGGGAUGACGUCAAAUCAUCAUGCCCCUUAUGAUUUGGGCUACACACGUGCUACAAUGGACAAUACAAAGGGCAGCGAAACCGCGAGGUCAAGCAAAUCCCAUAAAGUUGUUCUCAGUUCGGAUUGUAGUCUGCAACUCGACUACAUGAAGCUGGAAUCGCUAGUAAUCGUAGAUCAGCAUGCUACGGUGAAUACGUUCCCGGGUCU